rnacentral:rRNA from 1 species
AUUACCCAAUCCUGACACAGGGAGGUAGUGACAAGAAAUAACAAUACAGGACUAAUAGUCUUGUAAUUGGAAUGAUGGCGACUUAAACCCUCGCCAGAGUAACAAUUGGAGGGCAAGUCUGGUGCCAGCAGCCGCGGUAAUUCCAGCUCCAAUAGCGUAUAUUAAACUUGUUGCAGUUAAAAAGCUCGUAGUUGAAUUUCUGCGUUGCGUUGUUCUUGCUUUUUGCUUGAUUUUCGCUUCGCUUUUUGUUUUUACUUUGAGAAAAUUAGAGUGUUUAUCGCAGACUUUUGUCUUGAAUACUUCAGCAUGGAAUAACAUAGUAGGACCUUGGUUCUAUUUUGUUGGUUUGGGACCUUGGUAAUGGUUAAUAGGAACGGUUGGGGGCAUUCGUAUUUAA